rnacentral:rRNA from 1 species
UACGUAGGGCGCAAGCGUUGUCCGGAAUUAUUGGGCGUAAAGAGCUCGUAGGCGGCCAGUUGCGUCUGCUGUGAAAUCCCGGGGCUCAACCCCGGGCGUGCAGUGGAUACGGGCCGGCUAGAGGCAGGCAGGGGAGAACGGAAUUCCCGGUGUAGCGGUGAAAUGCGCAGAUAUCGGGAGGAACACCGGUGGCGAAGGCGGUUCUCUGGGCCUGUACUGACGCUGAGGAGCGAAAGCGUGGGGAGCGAACAGG